UCGAGCGCGCCUUUCGGGGUGAGCGGCGGACGGGUUAGUAACGCGUGGGAAUAUACCCUCUGUGGUACGGCAAUAGCCUCUGGAAACGGAGAGCUAAUACCGAUAUGAGCCCUUCGGGGGAAAGAUUUAUCGCCAAAGGAUUAGCCCGCGUUAGAUUAGGUAGUUGGUGGAGCGUAAUGGCUCGUGACCAAGCCUACGAUCUAUAGCUGGUUUUAGAGGAUGAUCAGCAACACUGGGACUGAGACACGGCCCAGAACUCCUACGGGAGGCAGCAGUGGGGAAUCUUGGACAAUGGGGGCAACCCUGAUCCAGCCAUGCCGCGUGAGUGAUGAAGGCCUUAGGGUCGUAAAGCUCUUUCGCCUGUGAAGAUAAUGACGGUAGCAGGUAAAGAAACCCCGGCUAACUCCAUGCCAGCAGCCGCGGUCAAUACGGAGGGGGUUAGCGUUGUUCGGAAUUACUGGGCGUAAAGCGCACGUAGGCGGAUCGGAAAGUUCGGGGGUGAAAUCCCGGGGCUCAACCCCGGAACUGCCUCCAAAACUAUCGGUCUAGAGUUCGAGAGAGGUGAGUGGAAUUCCGAGUGUAGAGGUGAAAUUCGUAGAUAUUCGGAGGAACACCAGUGGCGAAGCGGCUCACUGGCUCGAUACUGACGCUGAGGUGCGAAAGUGUGGGGAGCAAACAGGAUUAGAUACCCUGGUUAGUCCACACCGUAAACGAUGAAUGCCAGUCAGUCGGG
rnacentral:rRNA from 1 species